AUACUUACCUAGAUGGGGUCUAUGGUUGAUCAUGAAGGCUCGUGGCCUAAGGUAGUGACUUUCAUUGCACUCUUGGGGUAUGCUACCUUAAGGUAUGCCAAAAUGGUAGAGCCUACACCAUAAUUUGUGGUAAUGGAGUUUGUGUUUGCGCAACUCCUUU